GCGGCGUGCUUAACACAUGCAAGUCGAACGGGAAAUAUUUCAUUGAGACUUCGGAGGAUUUGAUCUAUUUCUAGUGGCGGACGGGUGAGUAACGCGUGGGUAACCUGCCUUAUACGGGGGGAUAACAGUCAGAAAUGGCUGCUAAUACCGCAUAAGCGCACAGAGCUGCAUGGCUCAGUGUGAAAAACUCCGGUGGUAUAAGAUGGACCCGCGUUGGAUUAGCUAGUUGGUGGGGUAACGGCCCACCAAGGCGACGAUCCAUAGCCGGCCUGAGAGGGUGAACGGCCACAUUGGGACUGAGACACGGCCCAGACUCCUACGGGAGGCAGCAGUGGGGAAUAUUGCACAAUGGGGGAAACCCUGAUGCAGCGACGCCGCGUGAAGGAAGAAGUAUCUCGGUAUGUAAACUUCUAUCAGCAGGGAAGAUAGUGACGGUACCUGACUAAGAAGCCCCGGCUAACUACGUGCCAGCAGCCGCGGUAAUACGUAGGGGGCAAGCGUUAUCCGGAUUUACUGGGUGUAAAGGGAGCGUAGACGGUGUGGCAAGUCUGAUGUGAAAGGCAUGGGCUCAACCUGUGGACUGCAUUGGAAACUGUCAUACUUGAGUGCCGGAGGGGUAAGCGGAAUUCCUAGUGUAGCGGUGAAAUGCGUAGAUAUUAGGAGGAACACCAGUGGCGAAGGCGGCUUACUGGACGGUAACUGACGUUGAGGCUCGAAAGCGUGGGGAGCAAA
rnacentral:rRNA from 1 species